AUAUUAUAUGCAAAAAUGUCUUCCUUUGUGCUGCCCCUGUGUCUUAGAAAUUCACAGGGAGGAAGGUCUAGGAUAGAGGGUUUGACUUUUCUUUUCUGUUUUUUUUGUAGCAUGAUGUGAUUAAUUUAUUUUAAUUCCCAUGAGUGACCUGGCAUUACUGUGAUGCUAUGCAAGAUUGGAGUGUAGAGUGAGUCACUUCACCAUUGUUCCCUUGUGCUGAAUGUUUGCAACUGUUUUCCAUUUUGCUCAUUCUGAUCUAACCAAACAGACCCCAUCGAUUUGAGGUUGUCAUGCAUGUAAUGCUUGGAUAUGCCCUUAUUGGUAUCUAAAUAUAUGGAUGUUUUUUUUAUCAUUUUCAUCUAUAUAUUUCACUUGACUAGCCAUUAGCGUUGUGGGUUGCUACCGAAUGAACUGUUUUUUAUUUGCAUUGUUUGCCAUUCUCGUGCUUAUUAUUUUUUGUUUUAGUUUGUAGGGGUUGUACACUCCACCGUCUAAAAUAAAUCUAGCCAACAGGUGGUUGAGAGGCAUUUUGUGGUGCCACUAUUUUCUUUCAGGUUUAGGCACUUUGACUCUACUAACUUUAGCCAGGUUUGUAUCAUCAAAUUGCACGUUGCCUUUCAUUGGUGUAUUUGCAAGCUAUAGAGAAUUGUCGAUCAACAUGUUCAAAGUUUUAUCCUCUUAUAUUUUGCUGCCAGUUUCUAUGUUCACUUCAGUAAUGUGUAAUUUGGUGUUCUUUUAUAUCUUCUGUACAAAUGCUAUUCAGUACAAUCUUCAUAUGCACCUAGACUUACAUGGAUAAUCUUGUAUGUAAUUCCCUCUUUUUUAUUGAUGUGUGGUUUUAUCGGUGUGAUUAAUUCCAUCUCUUUUUACUUUUUCAUGUUAGGUACUACAUGUACUUUUUGUGAUGGCAAGGGUAAAUUACUAGCCAAUUUUGGUACUAGCCAAAUCAAAGAUUUAUGUCCUAAAAAGGAUUUGCUCGGCUUCAUGCAAUUGAAUUGUUAUCGCAUAUUUACGAGCAAGCUCAUAUUUAUCUCUCCAUGAUCUCUUAACCGAGAGAAAAGGGCUUACUGCUCCCUUUUAAACUCAUAUAUUUAUUGAUAAGUGCUGCAGUUUCUGUAUCUAUUUCUUGCGGUUUAUGUAUCUAUUUCUCUCUAGAGCUAGCUGAGUGGUCAACACCGAGGAAGAUGGGGAAGACAGAGCCAGCGAGGAAGAUGGCUCAGCCCUGCCGACAAUGCCCACCGGCCACUUCCUUCGGUCGCCAUCGUAGGAGGGGCGCACCAUCGAGGAGCAGCAGGGGAGGAGAUGAGGAUACACCGCUGGACUCCCUCUUCACUUUAUGGUCGCAUCUUCCCUAUGAGCUCCUUCUUCCAUUCCCUUGCUUCCCUACCGUGCUCCACCUGUGUACUUUUGAUUUGGUUGUGAAAUUGUACUCCAUGGUGCUUGCAAGUCUGUGUACAAUUUAUUCCAAUGCUCGACUUGGUGUCCGUCUCAACAAAACCUAACAUGUCGGUGCGAAAUUCUGCUAGCCAGCUUGACCAUUUGCUUUGGAAGGAGUAAUUCAACUCAGAAAGGACAAAUGAUUUGUGACUAUUUUUGUUUUUCUUACAAUCUCUUUAGGUCGAUCAUUCUUUUCUUUUCCCUGUCACUUUUUCUUUGCUUUGGUAGUGUAUUUGGGUUAUUUCUUUCUCUGGAGCUUGGGCAUAUUGGUUGUCUUGUUGACUCUUUUACUAGCAAUCUUUCCUUUUCAGUAUAUGGGAGAGAUUACUAGCUCACACAUAUAGUUUAGUUAUUAAGUUUCUAAAUAAGUUCAGCCUCAGGUACAUAUUUUGUAUCUAUUGCUUAUUUAAUCCAUUGAGAUCUAUUCUCUCCGGUUCAUACAGUAUGUUUGCAUUUAACUUGGAAAUUGCAUGCUUACUUCAAAAUUGGAAUGUGACUUUUGCUUGCUGAUAGAUUCAGUUAUGGUGUGGUUGCCUACUACUCAAAAUUAUUUUAUAUAGCAUCGUAAAUUUCAGGGACCGUAUCACAACAGAUCAUUGGCAUUGUAGGUUCAGUGGACAUGUAUGCUUAAUAUCCUCUCACUGGACAAGAUUGGAUUUUAGUGUAUACAAGUCCUCCUCUCAGCUGCUCAGGUGAAUGCACUGGACUUUUUGAGAUCGGGGCCACCAACGGCAUAUGCCAAGGGCGUCCAUUGACAACCCGCCCAAGAUCUGGAUUCACCGAGGAGUACAACCGGACUUGUGGUCAGCUGCCUGCUGUGGUGUUGAUGGCGGGUCUUCCGAAUCGCUUCCUCAGCCUAACAACGCAGCCUACAAACUAACUGUUAUCAACAUCAGUAAUGAUGCCGGCCCUUCGCACCGUUGCAUGAAUGCCAAGAAAAACAAGAAAAAGGAGCAUGCAUCGCAUGGUACAAAACCAUGUACCAUUACCAUUGUAAUGCCAUUAUUCCGAAUUUCAUUUGCCUUCCUAUUCAUACUAAUCUUUCAAACCCUCUUCAUGAUUAUCAUCAUACAACACCUACAACUAAAUUUAUAAAACCGAAGAAGGCUGAACACAAGGCCUACAUAACCCGUAUGAUCAAGCAAUGUUUUCAUUUACUCUACUAAUACCAGUAAAUGCAUAUGCUUACACCAACCAUUUUAUAUACCAUUGCAUAGGGGCACCCGACACUAUCUACUUUCUAAGCUUUGAUGGUCAUUGAUGGGGAAACAAAGUGAGGCUAUACAGGAAGCGGCUCACAUGUUUGCCACUCAAAGAAUGCCAAGACCCUAUACACAUCACCUGCAAUUAUAUAUACAAUUCUUCUUAGUGUUGUUACCUUUCAUUUCCAAUAUUUCUUUUCUCAGUGUUGUUACCUUUCAUUUACAGUAUUUCUUAGUCAAUUUUACCAAGAAAUAUCUUCACCAUUGUAUUGACCCAAAGCUUUAUGACUUGCCAAUAAAAUCUAGAGAUGGAAAUCCCUACAUCAAAGCCCGUCUAAUCAAAGGAGUCGAUAACAGGGCAACAAUUACCAGAGGCUGGGCUGGCUUCUUCCCCGCAGCUAAUACGAAGGAAAGAGAAAUAUAUGCCUUCGCCUUCAAGUGCAACCACAAGCACCUGCGUCUCACCGUGCACGCCCUCUGAGCAUCGUGUUCAGUCUAAUAAACUACUUAAUUAGCCUAUGAAGUUCUGUGUGUAUAGCGUCACCGUAAGAAGCUUUUGGCACUGGACUCUUUGGUUAUCUUGUUCAGUCUACUAAACUACCUAAAUAGCCUAUGAAGCUCUGUCUGUAUAGCUUCACCCUCAGAACCUGUUUGCUUUUGGCACCACUCUCUGCUUUUGGCGCUAGUCUCUGAUAUGUAUAAAUUUGGAAUCCAUGAUGCUAUGUUUGAUCCGUGUAAUAUUCUCCAGCUGCGUCUAAACCCUGCUGUUUAAUGCAAAUAUUUUCUUAUAUUUAGGUGACAA